GUCCAGGAAUGGGAAUCGAACCCACAGUGUUCCGCUUACCGGGCAGAUGCCAUGUCCACUAGGCUACCCUGGA